CUUCAAAUUGUUUGUAAAAAUUGGAAAAAAAAUAAUGAUUUUUUUUACCCUGAUGGUAUAACUAAUAAAAACAAGUACUAUAAAUUAGUUUCAAAAAUGGUUUCGCCAGGCUACCAAGCAGAGAAAUGUAAAUGGUCACUACACUCUAUCUUAAAAAUCUAUGGUUCUGAUGAUGUAUUUGAAAUGGCUGUAAAAAAAUUAAAAAUUGCAGAAAACUACAGUGAUGUAAAUACGGAUACUGAUGUCAAUAAUGCAAAAAGUCAACUGCAAAAGUCAUUAGGGCAAAAAAAAGUAUGAUUCUGACUCAAGCACUGAAUCUUGGUCACAACUAAACCAUCCAGUAAAAGUGUCAUCUUCAAAGGGAUUGAAGUAUCCAAAUCCUCCUUAACCUAUUGCAUCAUCAAGUACAUUUAAAAAGAAUACUCCUGACCAGAAAAUGAAAUUAGCACGUUCAACAUCUAGUAGUUCAAAAAUGUAUAAUCCAUGCGAUAGUUUUGACAUAACUCCAACAUUUGACAAUCCUGCUACAUCGACUCAACGCAUGAAGAUUAAAU